rnacentral:rRNA from 1 species
GAGUUUGAUCCUGGCUCAGGCGAACGCUGGCGCGUGCUUAACACAUGCAAGUCGGAACGGAAAGGCCCUUCGGGGUACUCGAGUGGCGAACGGGUGAGUAACACGUGGGUGAGUCUGCCCCUGCACUUUGGGAUAAGCCUGGGAAACUGGGUCUAAUACCGAAUAUGAUCAUGUCCUUCAUGGGGUGUGGUGGAAAGCUUUUGCGGUGUGGGAUGGGCCCGCGGCCUAUCAGCUUGUUGGUGGGGUAAUGGCCUACCAAGGCGUCGACGGGUAGCCGGCCUGAGAGGGUGUCCGGCCACACUGGGACUGAGAUACGGCCCAGACUCCUACGGGAGGCAGCAGUGGGGAAUAUUGCACAAUGGGCGCAAGCCUGAUGCAGCGACGCCGCGUGGGGGAUGAC